GUAACAUUAUCUAGCUUGCUAGAAGAUGACGAGUGGCGGACGGGUGAGUAAUGCUUGGGAACUUGCCUUUGCGAGGGGGAUAACAGUUGGAAACGACUGCUAAUACCGCAUAAUGUCUUCGGACCAAACGGGGCUUUUAGCUCCGGCGCAAAGAGAGGCCCAAGUGAGAUUAGCUAGUUGGUAAGGUAACGGCUUACCAAGGCGACAAUCUCUAGCUGUUCUGAGAGGAAAAUCAGCCACACUGGGACUGAAACACGGCCCAAACUCCUACGGGAGGCAGCAGUGGGGAAUAUUGCACAAUGGGGGAAACCCUGAUGCAGCCAUGCCGCGUGUGUGAAGAAGGCCUUCGGGUUGUAAAGCACUUUCAGUUGUGAGGAAAAGUUAGUAGUUAAUACCUGCUAGCCGUGACGUUAACAACAGAAGAAGCACCGGCUAACUCCGUGCCAGCAGCCGCGGUAAUACGGAGGGUGCGAGCGUUAAUCGGAAUUACUGGGCGUAAAGCGCACGCAGGCGGUUUGUUAAGCUAGAUGUGAAAGCCCCGGGCUCAACCUGGGAUGGUCAUUUAGAACUGGCAGACUAGAGUCUUGGAGAGGGGAGUGGAAUUCCAGGUGUAGCGGUGAAAUGCGUAGAUAUCUGGAGGAGCAUCAGUGGCGAAGGCGACUCCCUGGCCAAAGACUGACGCUCAUGUGCGAAAGUGUGGGUAGCGAACAGGAUUAGAUACCCUGGUAGUCCACACCGUAAACGCUGUCUACUAGCUGUGUGUGCCUUUAAGCGUGCGUAGCGGAGGCUAACGCGCUAAGUAGACCGCCUGGGGGAGUACGGCCG
rnacentral:rRNA from 1 species